rnacentral:tRNA from 1 species
GAAAAAUUAUUUUAAUUAAAAAUAUGAAUCUGUCAGAUUCAAGUUACCUUUUAGGGUAUUUUUUU